GAUGAUGAUGAUGAUGAUGAAUUCUCCAAACAGGAUCGUCUAAAGCACUAACAAUCAUGUUUCUUCUUCAGACGAGACAUGGUGUGCCCAGCGGAAUGUUCUCUCGGUGACCUUGACCUUCUGAGCAAGAGGAACAGCUUCACCUGGAAACGGAAGUUCGGAGAUUUCAGUUUCGACGACUAUCUGUUCAUGAAGCUUCUGGGCCGGAACCUGGGAGACAGACACUAGGACGUCAGAGAUUCGAAGCAUCGUCUGCGAGCAGCUUCCGGGAACUAGUCACGUGACAUCUGCCAUUCCACGUGACAUUCUAACCACGCAAAUAGAUGCGUACUGUAAAAAGGGUGUUGUACUUGCACUACCUUCACAGAAUUUGUUUUGUGUUUUUGAACAACUCUCUAAGCUUCAACUUGACAAGCAUAGGGGCUUAUAAUUUGUUUCGUUUUUAAUUUGAUAAGGAAUUUAGAAUAGCAAUGUUUGCUGUGUAUAUUAAUGUUAUUGUACCCAGUGACCAAUCUCAGAGUUUUGAAUAGAUCUAUCUACCUUUUCUGGAAAACGUUUAUCAAAA